rnacentral:lncRNA from 1 species
GAUCUAGUUAGGUCCAACCAUUAACAUGACUUGAAUUGGUGAAUCAGACCAAUAAAUGAUCAGGCCCGACUUUGACCGGCCAACCUGACCACCAUCAGAAAGACUCAAACCAAAUUAUCAUACUAUGAAUGAUAAUUCCAUUAGUCAAUAAGCACCAGGCCUUUGGGCCUCCAAUGAUUAUUAAACUAAUGGACUCAUUAUCACUCACUUAAUGGAAGGCUAUGAUUUAGUUAUCAAUAUAACUUAAUCAUUUUUAGGGACCUAAUAAU